AGUUAAUAUCACAAGUGACUGGGAGCAGCGUUUCAAGGUCUGGAGGGCUGGUGGCAUCCAGGGGGAGCUCAGUGGCCUCAGGGAGGAGCACACCUCGGGAUAUCAUCAUGAAUUCACCUUCUACAGAGUCUGGAGACAGUUUAUUGUAC